CGUGCCACCAUGACAGGAGCCUUCACACCGCUUCCCUCCCAAUGGAUCCAUGACGGAUUGAGUGCUCCCUUGAUGGAUUCGCGAGCAUGUAGCCCUAGAUGCGCUGCCAUGGACGAUGGAGGGAGGUGGAGCCGCGACCGGUGGUGAUGAGGGUGUGCCUUUGUCGGUGAAGAGGAAGGAGCGUCGCCGCCUUGGCCUGUGCGGGAGCUGUCUUCAGCAUGGUUGAAGGGGGAGGAGCGUCGCCGUAGUCGAUGCCGGAGCCGACGAAGUAGACGAGGCACCGCUGCUAGUCCUAGAAAGGCUGCCAUAGCCGAUGGGAUAGGUCCCGAUCUGGGCGUGGGGAUGGAGAGAGAUACGAGAGAGAGGGGACUUUCAUUUGAACCCCGACAAGUUUGGUGGAUCCCACAUAAAGUGUGGCAGAGGAGGGGAAGAG
rnacentral:lncRNA from 1 species